GGGGGGGGGGGGGGGGGGGGGGGGCGGGUGCGGGGGGGGCGGGGGCGGGGGGGGGGCUUGCGCUUGAGGGGGGGGAGGGGGGGGCGGGGGCGGGGUACAUCGGCAGCUGCUUUUGCGUGGGGGAGAACGUAGGGGAACGUACGCUAAUAGCGAGUACGGCCUAAGGGGGGAAGCAGGGGGUCUUAGGCCCUUUCGCGAUGGACUGCCACGAGCUCGGAUUAGCUAGUUGGAGGUGUAAAAGCACACCAAGGCGACGAUCCGUCUCUGGUCUGAGAGGAUGAUCAGCCACAAUGGAACUGAGACAUGGUGCAGACUCCUACGGGAGGCAGCAGUGGGGAAUAUUGGACAAUGGGCGCAAGCUUGAUGCAGCAAUACCGCGUGGGUGAAGAAGGACUUCGGGUUGUAAAGCCCUUUUGUUGGGAAAGAAAAGCAGCAGGUUAAUACCCCGCUGUUUUGACGGUACCCAAAGAAUAAGAACCGGCUAACUUCGUG
rnacentral:rRNA from 1 species